UACGUAGGGACCAAGCGUUGUUCGGAUUUACUGGGCGUAAAGGGCGCGUAGGCGGCUUGUCAAGUCACUUGUGAAAUCUCUGGGCUUAACCCAGAACGGCCAAGUGAAACUGACAUGCUAGAGUGCAGAAGGGGCAAUCGGAAUUCUUGGUGUAGCGGUGAAAUGCGUAGAUAUCGGGAGGAACACCAAUUGCGAAGGCAGCUCGCUGGGACGUCACUGACGCUGAGACGCGAAAGCGUGGGGAGCAAACAGG
rnacentral:rRNA from 1 species